UGCAAUCAGCAUGCUGAUUAAGGUUGCUUGGUUUUUUACUAAACAUUAACUGAAUGAAAACGGUUAGUCCUUGUUGUUCUGCUUGGGGGGCUUUGGUGAAGCAAAUGGACUUUCAGAACAGAGAUUGUCAAUAAAGCUUUUUUCCUUCAUUAGAAUUUAUGAUCCAUAGCCAUCAUUACACUUUCACAUCUCUGAGUUUCUGUUGAAUUUUCUUUGAGAGGUUAAUAAACAUAAAGGAGGAGAAAGGAUGUCUUUGCUCUAUAGCAUGCAAAGGUUGCAGAAGAAAAAGAAACUCCUCGGUAUAAAGAAACUUGCAUUUUGGCUGUAUGCACUAUACUUCACCUGUGGCUAAAUACAGGACUCGAGAUUUCAAAGUCAUGAUGCUUCAUCCCAUGAUGCUUCAUUCCUGCUCCACCAUGAUGCUUCAUCCCUCCCUGCUCCGUCAUGAUCCAUCACAAAAUCUCCUGCUCUGGACAAUUAGGAUCUGAUCCAUUUUUGGGCAGGGGGUGGGGAGGGAGGAAGAAUGUUUGCUUCCUGAUUUCAGUGAAUAGGGAAGGAUACACAAACGUACUCAGUGAUUUACUGUAUACUCUGGCAUAUCAUGUGAGUUAAAUGGUUGUAGAAUUAUGAUUAUAAGACUUAGUGCUUGAAAAUCAAAAUUGAAGUACAGAAGUGGUAUGAUCCACAAUGACUGAUAACUUCGCUGUGGGCACUGGGCCAAAUAGGUUUAGAGGAAAUUCUGGAAAAAAAGCUGCUCCACAUUGCUCACACCAUUCAGAAUAUCAGGGUAAAUCAGAUUCAAUAAUUCAUUGGGAAGUCCUGGUCACCUAUACAGCUAUUUCACACAUGUUGAGGGCUGUGGGAGCAUCAGUGGGAAAGUCCGCUGCUGAUGAUCAACUCCUGUAGCAUAUGAGGAAUAGACACUCGGUCACCUGUGGUAGAGUAAAGAUUCACAGGUUAGCAACUGCCCCUGGUGUAAACCAUUGCCAGCUACAAUGAUAUAUGGUGCACGGC